rnacentral:misc_RNA from 1 species
GGGGAACUGGGAACUGCGGGACUCUUGGGUCACCUCCCAUCCGUGUCUAUCUGUACCCUGUUGCUUCGGCGUGGCCACGGCCCGCCGGAGACUAACAUUUGAACGCUGUCUGAAGUUUGCAGUCUGAGUUUUUAGUUAAACAAUCGUUAAAACUUUCAACAACGGAUCUCUUGGUUCCGGCAUCGAUGAAGAACGCAGCGAAAUGCGAUAAUUAAUGUGAAUUGCAGAAUUCAGUGAAUCAUCGAGUCUUUGAACGCACAUUGCGCCCCCUGGUAUUCCGGGGGGCAUGCCUGUCCGAGCGUCAUUGCUGCCCUCAAGCACGGCUUGUGUGUUGGGCUUCCGUCCCUGGCAACGGGGACGGGCCCAAAAGGCAGUGGCGGCACCAUGUCUGGUCCUCGAGCGUAUGGGGCUUUGUCACCCGCUCCCGUAGGUCCAGCUGGCAGCUAGCCUCGCAACCAAUCUUUUUAACCAGGUUGACCUCGGAUCAGGUAGGGAUACCCGCUGAACUUAAGCAUAUCAUAAACCCGGAAGAAAAAAAA